rnacentral:rRNA from 1 species
GGAGCAAUACCGCGUGAGGGAGGAAGGCUCUUGGGUUGUAAACCUCUUUUCUCAGGGAAUAAGAANCUGAAGGUACCUGAGGAAUCAGCAUCGGCUAACUCCGUGCCAGCAGCCGCGGUAAUANCGGAGGAUGCAAGCGUUAUCCGGAAUGAUUGGGCGUAAGGCGUCCGCAGGUGGUUUAUCAAGUCUGCUGUCAAAGAGUUUGGCUCAACCAAAUAAAGGCAGUGGAAACUGACAGACUGGAGUGCGGUAAGGGCAGAGGGAAUUCCUGGUGUAGCGGUGAAAUGCGUAGAGAUCAGGAAGAACACCGGUGGCGAAAGCGCUCUGCUGGGCCGUAACUGACACUGAGGGACGAAAGCUAGGGGAGCGAAUGGGAUUAGAUACCCCAGUAGUC